rnacentral:rRNA from 1 species
UACAGAGGUCUCAAACGUUGUUCGGAUUCAUUGGGCGUAAAGGGUGCGUAGGCGGCGCGGUAAGUCGGGUGUGAAAUCUUGGAGCUUAACUCCGAAACUGCAUUCGAUACUGCCGUGCUUGAGGACUGGAGAGGAGACUGGAAUUUACGGUGUAGCGGUGAAAUGCGUAGAUAUCGUAAGGAAGACCAGUGGCGAAGGCGGGUCUCUGGACAGUUCCUGACGCUGAGGCACGAAGGUCAGGGGAGCAAACGGG